UACUCAGCCUUAAACCAAGAUAGUUUUCCCAUACCACUAUCUGCCAGAGAACUACAAGUGAAAAACCUGAAACUCUAAGGACUUGACGGUGCCCCACACCAACCUAGAGGAGCCUGUCCUUUAAUCGAUACUCCACGCUCUACCCAACCCCCUCUAGCCCUCAGCCUAUAUACCGCCGUCGCCAGUCCACCUACUGAUAGAAACAACAGUCGACACAAUAGCACCUCGCUAGUACGUCAGGUCAAGGUGUAGCUAAUGAGGCGGACAGAGAUGGGCUACAUUUGCUGGCCACAGCAAACACUCAACCACAAGCCACAUGAAAUAGAGGCCAACAGGCGGAUUUAGCAGUAAACUUUGGGAAAGACCUACCCAAUUGAACCCCGCUC
rnacentral:rRNA from 1 species